CCAAUUCCCCAUAGGGGACCCUGUAGAGCUGCUUUCUUCUUCCUGCUCCUCUAUUUUUCUCUGUUGUUUCUUCUUCCUUUCAACCUAAAAAAAAAAAGAAAAAAGAAUGGCUUCCUCGUCUUCCAGAACAAAGUCAAGUGGACCAGUUCUACGUUCACUCUCACCCUCUACCAGGUUCUGCUCUUACACAACAUCCAAAACCCCUUUUUCUUCUCCUUCAUCAGCCUUUGCUUCAUCUACAAGCUCUGGCUUUUCCUCUCCCUCUUCCACCUUCUUCAACCAGCCCCGUCAACAUCAUCACAAUAAUAACCAUCAUCACAGUCAUCACCGUGCGGCUUCUCCCACACGCGUCAAUCUGUAUACCUCUGCCCCUCUCUCUUCCGGCGUCCGUUUCUCCAUCGACCCCCGCUCCAUCUCUCCUAACCGCUCCAUCUCGAAUCAGAUCAUAACAAAAAAUAACCGUCCGAUCUCCGCCCCCAAGAAGACCUGUAUGUGCUCGCCUACCACGCACCCUGGCUCGUUCCGAUGCAGUCUCCACAAGAACGCUGGAAACAACCACAACAACGCUGAAUCGUACCCGUCUAAUCGUCUCAACAUGCGUAGAUCUGCGAUGAAGAACUCGCUGGUGAGGAUCGGAGGAGUGGAAGGAGAGUGGGUGAAGAGAGCCCUAACCGCUUUGAUUCGGCCGUCUUCGCAUCAACAGAGGAGAAGAUCGGCGUUCGAGCCCAGGCCCAGUCGUCUCUCUGUCAUGUCCAGGGCCCAUGAUCUUUGAUUUUCUUUUCCCUUCUUUUUACAGGUUCAUUUUUGUUUCUAUUGCGCUAGGUUUUCUACCCCUAGCGUACUGAUCUGCCGCCAGAGUUGGAGUCCGGCCAAGCGGUUAGGAGGUAGCGGUGAGUCCUCUCCGGCGAGUUUUGAUUUCGUCGUCUGGAGCAGAUUGGUGAAUUGUCGCCGGAACCGUUGAAGAUUUCCGGCAUAAAUCUAUGAGACUGGACCUACAGAAUUGCUUUUUGUACAUAACAUUUGCUAUGGAAGCAGAGUUUUGGACCCCUUUUUUUUAAUCUCUUCGCACUAAUUCGAUACCUUAAUACAUACAUACAAUCCCCAUCUCAGACUUAAUUUGUGACAUGAUAUUCCUCUAAUUAAAUCAGUUAAAAUUAACAUUAAAAAAAAUAAAUAAAAAAGGUUAACUGGUAUUUUGACUCCACUGACAAAUUGCGUGACCCGUCCCGGUUGUGUUUGCAGCGUCGUGGUGACUCCGUUAUGUUUUCCGUCGAUGGACCUUGUUUCCGUGUGGGUAUUACCGUCGUUUGGUACCAACCGUCCCGUUACCCGUGCCGCCGUUGACCCUCCGAUACGUUCGUCCAGUUGUUUUGCGUGCGGUGCCAGGUUGGCUUAUGCAGCUGGACUUUUGUAAUGCAGAAGAUUGAAUUCUUGAUUUUGAAGGAGACAUUAUUAAAUUUUAAAACAGACAGUAAUUGUUGACAGUGGACACCAGGCAGGAUCCCUCUUUUGAAUACAGGACAGGAGGGAAAAACACUAGUGAAAACUAAUUGAUUAAAAUAAUUUUUUUUAAAGUAAUAAUACCAAUCAUAAAGGAAAGAAAAAUUCAAGGUCGGAGACUUGGAUUGAAUUUAGAAUUUAAUCAGAAUAUAUGAAUAAUAUAAAAAUUAUAUUAUCCUUAAUUAUAGAUUGUUAUAUAAUUAAAAAAAGUUGAUUUUAAAAUUUCUAUGUGAGACAGCUUUUAAUUAUUUAGUAACAUAAGCAUUUUCAUAUCAAUAAUACAUAAAAGUUUGGUAAGGAAAUGUUGAAGGGCGAUGGAAACUUGUUCAUGGGAGGCAUUUGCAGUUUGGCAGCAAGCUGGCCAUGUUCUUGAUUGAGAGGAAAAUCAAAUGAAGUUACUGAUUUCAGGUAGCUUUACAAAUAGAAAUACUGAAAUAGUAAUGGACGCAUAAAAAUGGGAGGUAUUUGUAUGAGUGUGUAGAUGGACAUGUGGCGUAGUAAUAUGGUAUGGGCAGCAUAUUAACGUACGUCAGGGAUGUCAGACUCAGAUGCUUACUUUCUACCAGCGCUUGUGGGCCACUAUAUAACCGUUUUGCCCUACUUUUAUCUUAUCCUCACACCUAUCAAAUACUAAACAAUGGGAAGGACAAACAAAUACAUCAGGAUUACAUCAAGUUUAUGAAGUUUUUGCUCCUUUUUUAAAUUUGAACUGAUUACAAAUACAUUACAUGAGAGUUGAAGUGAUUCUCCCUGGAAUAGCUUGACAACCACACACAAGAAUCCCGCAUCUUGAAAAUUUACCCAAGAUUUCCUACCCAGGUUACAUAUAUGUGUGUGUGUGUAAUUGGAUUUUCAAAAUUCAACGAUACCUGUAUAGUGGGUCAUAAUGUUAUGCAUCUUACACCAUCAAUAUUGAGGAUAAUAUAUAGAAGUUUAUUACUUCUUUUUUUUUCAUGAAAUUUGGUAUUUGGUAAAAACUUUCACAUAAAAUUUAAAUUGAUAAUUUUGAAAACAUCACAACAGUAGUCAUGAUCUACAAGUCAAAACCAGUGAAUUAGCGUGCAUUAUUCUGAGAUAAAAUACACCAAAUUAUACAUAUAUACACACUUAAGCUGAACUUUGUUUAAUCUUCAUUGUUAACCUAACAUUCGUGUUUAAAUCAGAAAAAGAUAAUAGGAGCACAUUGAUAACAUACAAAUGCACAGUUUCUGUAAUGCUUUUUGUCCUAUGAGUAUCUGGCCAGACAAAGUGCUAAUAAAAAUAAAUAUCUUGUUUGGUCUCAU